rnacentral:tRNA from 1 species
CAUAAUCCGUCGGCCGUGGGUUCGAGUCCCACCCGCCCCACCAGAAGAAUCGAUCUGAGCUGCGGGAACGCCGGGGU